UCCAUAGACGAGAUGGACAUAAGGAGGGUUUGUUCGAUGAAGAGGAAAAAAAUCCGAUCUGUACUCUUCGAUCAAUGAAGACGAUUUGGAUGCCUUGGUAAUGUAGUUACAGCGCAGCCAUCCAAAUGCUGGCUACACGAUGAUCCAGGGACAUACACAUUCAAAGGCAUCGAUUAAGGGCAUCCAUGCGGCGAAAUGAUCCAGAAGCAGUAUUGAUGCGAAGAUUAAGCAUCCAGAUUGCAAGGCGUCGUCAGUACAAUGUUCCUGCGCCAAAUAGUUUAUGGCAUUAUUGAUGGGAAUCACAAACUGAUCAGAUGGAGGAUUAUUGUCCAUGGUGGCAUCGAUGGAUUCUCCAGGCUCAUUGUAUACCUCAAUUGUGCCACCAACAACAGAGCUACAACUGUUUUCGAAGGCUUCAUGUCUGCUGUUGGCCAAUAUGGAGUGCCAUCUCGAGUUAGAUCUGACAAGGGGGGUGAAAAUGUGAUGGUUGCUCAUUUCAUGGUUCAAACAAGAGGGGAGAACAGAAACUCUCACAUUACUGGAAGGAGUGUUCAUAACCAGAGAAUUGAGCACCUUUGGAGAGAUGUCUAUGAAUGUUCUCGAUCUCUACUACACCAUCUUCAUCCAGUUGGAGGCGGAAGGAGCACUCAAUCCUGACCACGAGAUUGACCUGUAUGCACUACACAAAUGCUUCAUGCCACAUAUUCAGCGUAGUCUUCAGUGUUUCACGGAGGCAUGGAACCAUCACGGACUAAGGACUGCAAACCAACGUUCACCUUUGCAGUUGUGGUUGCUAAACCACAGAGAAGGACAAGAAUUCUCACAAGUUAGUGAGGAUUAUGGUGUGGACUGGGAAGGACCACAUAUUCCCUGCGCAUCAAAUGUCAGUGUUCCUGAGAUCCAACUUCCACACCUACUGAGUGAACAAGACCUUGCAGCCUUACCAAACCCUGAUGUUCCAUUUCCUCAAGCAUUGGCAGUUUACCUUGAAACUGUCCAAAUCCUCAAAGCUAUUUCAAACCUUAACUUUAGUUUUUCCUUUUGUAUGUCCAACCUAAAGUCCAAUUCUGGAAGUGACUCAGUAUCUGCUAUCAAGGCCUUUCCUGACUCAGAAUGUGCCACAAAACAAACAAUGAACAUUCUGUGUAUAGUCAGGGCAAUGAGUCUGUGGUACCUUAUUUAAAACAGAAAUUGAUGCAUUUCCGAUCAUUAGAUCAACAUGUCUUUUAAUGUAAUUAACAAAGCAUAUAUAUGUUUAUUUAUUUAUUACAGCAUUGGUUCCGGAAGUACAUACAUGCAUCCCUUUAA